AUUGAACGCUGGCGGCAGGCCUAACACAUGCAAGUCGAACGAGUGGCGGACGGGUGAGUAAUGUCUGGGAAACUGCCUGCUGGAGGGGGAUAACUAAUGGAAACGGUAGCUAAUACCGCAUACCAUCGGAUGUGCCCAGAUGGGAUUAGCUAGUAGGUGGGGUAAAUGCUCACCUAGGCGACGCUCCCUAGCUGGUCUGAGAGGUUGACCAGCCACACUGGUACUGAGACACGGUCCAGACUCCUACGGGAGGCAUCAGGGGGGAAUAUUUGCCAAUGGGCGCAAGCCUGAUGCAGUCAUGCCGCGUGUAUGAAGAAGGCCUUCGGGUUGUAAAGUACUUUCAGCGUGGAGGCGUUACCCGCAGAAGAAGCACCGGCGAACUCCGUGCCAGCAGCCGCGGUAAUAC
rnacentral:rRNA from 1 species